rnacentral:rRNA from 1 species
GGAAGUAAAAGUCGUAACAAGGUUUCCGUAGAUCGAAMGUGACGCGRAGGAUCAUUAAAAAAAAAAAGUUGUGUGAGGCGGUGUCCUGGCAGUGCCAGGUAGCCGCUUAUACAUCAACACCCUCUGUAUAUCUACCGUGUUGCUUUGGCGGGACGGCAACCCAGUUGUCCGCAGGACCUGUUAAGGCCCCGCGAGUGCCCGCCGGAGAACCACCAAACUCAUGUUAAACCGUGAUGUCUGAGCUUUACAAGCAAUAAGUUAAAACUUUCAACAACGGAUCUCUUGGUUCUCGCAUCGAUGAAGAACGCAGCGAAAUGCGAUAAGUAAUGUGAAUUGCAGAAUUCAGUGAAUCAUCGAAUCUUUGAACGCAUAUUGCGCCCCUUGGUAUUCCGAGGGGCAUGCCUUUUCGAGCGUCAUUACAACCGUCAAGCUCUGCUUGGUAUUGGGCCUCCGCCCCCUGUGGGCGGGCCUUAAAGUCAUCAGCGGCUGAGCAAACGGCACUCUAGCGUAGUAGAAAUUAACUCGCUGGGGACCGGGGCUUGGGUAGCUGUUAAACACGCGUCUCUGGCGCACAUCUUAAGGUUGACCUCGGAUAAGGUAGRGAUACCCGCUGAACUUAAGCAUAUCAAUAAGCGGAGGAAAAGA